AGACCAAGGGUUCCAGUCCAACGUUAAUCGGGGCUGGGUGAGUCGACCCCUAAGGCGAGGCCGAAAGGCGUAGUCGAUGGGAAAAUGGUUAAUAUUCCAUUACUUCUGUGUAAUGCGAUGAGAGGACGGAGAAGGCUAAAUCAGCCUGGCGUUGGUUGUCCAGGUGAAAGGAUGUAGGCAUGUAUCUUAGGCAAAUCCGGGGUACUCUAUGCUGAGAUCUGAUAGCAAGCUGUACUUGUACAGCGAAGUGGUUGAUGCCAUGCUUCCAGGAAAAGUCUCUAAGCUUCAGUUACACAGGAAUCGUACCCGAAACCGACACAGGUGGUCAGGUCGAGUAGACCAAGGCGCUUGAGAGAACUCUGCUGAAGGAACUAGGCAAAAUGGUACCGUAACUUCGGGAGAAGGUACGCUGUUGUUGGUGAUGGAACUCGCUUCCUGAGCUGACGACAGCCGCAGAAACCAGGCCGCUGCAACUGUUUAUUAAAAACAUAGCACUCUGCAAACACGAAAGUGGACGUAUAGGGUGUGAUGCCUGCCCGGUGCUGGAAGGUUAAUUGAUGGGGUUAGCGUAAGCGAAGCUCUUGAUCGAAGCCCCAGUAAACGGCGGCCGUAACUAUAACGGUCCUAAGGUAGCGAAAUUCCUUGUCGGGUAAGUUCCGACCUGCACGAAUGGCAUAAUGAUGGCGGCGCUGUCUCCAGCAGAGGCUCAGUGAAAUCGAAAUCGCUGUGAAGAUGCAGUGUACCCGCGGCUAGACGGAAAGACCCCGUGAACCUUUACUGCAGCUUGACACUGAACUUUGACCUUACUUGUGUAGGAUAGGUGGGAGGCUUUGAAGCUGGAACGCUAGUUCCAGUGGAGCCGUCCUUGAAAUACCACCCUGGUAAUGUUGAGGUUCUAACUCUGUCCCGUGAUCCGGGACGAGGACCGUGUCUGGUGGGUAGUUUGACUGGGGCGGUCUCCUCCUAAAGAGUAACGGAGGAGUACGAAGGUGCGCUCAGCGUGGUCGGAAAUCACGCGUAGAGUAUAAAGGCAAAAGCGCGCUUAACUGCGAGACCCACAAGUCGAGCAGGUACGAAAGUAGGUCUUAGUGAUCCGGUGGUUCUGUAUGGAAGGGCCAUCGCUCAACGGAUAAAAGGUACUCUGGGGAUAACAGGCUGAUACCGCCCAAGAGUUCAUAUCGACGGCGGUGUUUGGCACCUCGAUGUCGGCUCAUCUCAUCCUGGGGCUGAAGCAGGUCCCAAGGGUAUGGCUGUUCGCCAUUUAAAGAGGUACGCGAGCUGGGUUUAGAACGUCGUGAGACAGUUCGGUCCCUAUCUACCGUGGGCGCUGGAAAUUUGAGAGGAUCUGCUCCUAGUACGAGAGGACCAGAGUGGACGAACCUCUGGUGUACCGGUUGUGACGCCAGUCGCAUCGCCGGGUAGCUAUGUUCGGAAGGGAUAACCGCUGAAAGCAUCUAAGCGGGAAGCCUACCUCAAGAUAAGAUUUCCCUAGGACUUUAUGUCCUCUAAAGAGCCGUUCGAGACUAGGACGUUGAUAGGUUGGAUGUGGAAGCAUAGUGAUAUGUGAAGCUGACCAAUACUAAUUGCUCGUGAGGCUUGACUAUACAACACCCAAGCAGUUG
rnacentral:rRNA from 1 species